rnacentral:tRNA from 1 species
GCAGGAAUGGCGGAACUGGUAUACGCGUCAGAUUUAGAAUCUGAAUUUUUAGAGUUCGAAUCUCUCUUCCUGUACGA